rnacentral:misc_RNA from 1 species
UCUUACUCUCCCUUGCAAUUAUUUUGUACUUGUAGGGGUGCAUGUAGGCACGGUCCUUGUGAUGCGGUACGUGAUGGUGUGUGAGUGGUAUUUGGUUUGUGUGGUUGGCGGGCUCUUUGCUUGUGCAUUGGACCGUUCACCAACAUACCUUUUCAUUGUAUGCUGCAAGUGCACCAUUUUGCCUUGGGCGACGUGUGGUCCCUAUGUUGGAUUCCGAUUAACGGUAUUGUUGUUGUCCCUUUAAAGAGUGAUAUUCGCUCUACGUCCGUAAAAGGAGGUCGAGCGGACCAUGAAACUUGACUCGUUAUCCUCCUGUUUUGUGAAAACAAGCAUGAUAGGGUUGGAUUAUGAUCUCAAGUUGGGCCCUAGGAUACAGAAAGUUGUGUGGGAGUUGAUGUAAAAACGUCGCAAACCCAAAGCGUUGGUACGCUAAUGAUGGAUGACAUUCGAGUGUGUUGUGAUUCUUUCAUUCUAGAAAGGUUCAUGCUCGCCGAUGUCGACCAAGGAGUGCUACCUGGUUGAUCCUGCCAGUAGUCAUAUGCUUGUCUCAAAGAUUAAGCCAUGCAUGUGUAAGUAUGAAC